UCAGUUGUGAAUUUCACCGUUUGUUAACUUUCCCAGACGCACUCCGAAGUCCAGCGAUACUGGACUUCAAACAGCAAAGGAAGUAACUGUGCAGGUUCACUGCUGUGUCUUCUGGGAGAGAAUUCCAACCUUAUGGUAACCUCGGCCUUGGCCGAGCUUCAUUCCCCAUACUGUCCAGCGAUGUGCAGGACAGGCUGUUUCAAACAGACAGCUAACCCUCAAGGAUCAGAAAAUAAGCUACAGACCUGCGAUCUCCAGAAGCGUGCAGACGUGGUGUUAGAACGUCACACCACAAAUUUGAAAGUGAGGAAACUGCACUAGAAUUCAAAUAUCAGACAUGGCAAGCCGAUUCUAACAUCUGUGAUGUUACAAUUCUAUGAUUCUUGGAACUGAAACCCCAGGUAAGGAUAUCAAAACUGAGCUCUGUAUUCAAGAUAUAGUCCCAACAGUGCUCUGUAACAGAUGGAAAAUUUCCUUACUUUUAUGUUCAGUUCCUUUCAUAAUAAGAGCCAGCAUGUCAUUGGUCUCUCUAAUCACUUGCUGUGCCUGCAUUAUAACUUGUGAUUUAUUCGCAAGGCCCCAGAUCCCUCUGCAUCUCAGAAUUAUGCAGUUGUUCUUCAAGCAGCUAAUAAAUUGCAUUUUACCAUAUUAUACACCAUUUGCAAGAUUUUUGCUUAUUUACUUAACCAAUCAUCAAUCUAUAUCCUUAAUAUGUCAUCCACACAGUGUACUUUUCAAUUUAUCUUUGUGUCACCUGCAAAUGUAACCACAUACCUUUGAUCCCCUCCUGUAAGUCAUCGAUAUAAUUGUAGAAAGUUGAGGAGCCAGCAGAGAUGCCUGUAGGAACUCCCCAUAUUGUCAUAUACAACCAAUUUAACAAAAGAACCAUUUUUGCAUAUUCUGUUUUCUGCUAGUCAGUUGAUGUUCUAUAACUAUACUUUACACCAUGAGCUCCUCUGUACAAUAUGUUUUUUGUGAAAACAUAUCAAACACCUUUUGGGAUAUUCAAGAUCAGCAUAUCCACAGGCUUCAAUUUACAUACUCUUUCAAAGAAUUCCUU